rnacentral:rRNA from 1 species
AGGAUUCCCCUAGUAACUGCGAGUGAAGCGGGAAAAGCUCAAAUUUAAAAUCUGGCGGUCUUUGGCCGUCCGAGUUGUAAUCUAGAGAAGUGCUAUCCGCGCUGGACCGUGUACAAGUCUCCUGGAAUGGAGCGUCAUAGAGGGUGAGAAUCCCGUCUUUGACACGGACUGCCAGGGCUUUGUGAUGUGCUCUCAAAGAGUCGAGUUGUUUGGGAAUGCAGCUCAAAAUGGGUGGUAAAUUCCAUCUAAAGCUAAAUAUUGGCGAGAGACCGAUAGCGAACAAGUACCGUGAGGGAAAGAUGAAAAGAACUUUGGAAAGAGAGUUAAACAGUACGUGAAAUUGCUGAAAGGGAAACGCUUGAAGUCAGUCGCGUUGGCCGGGGAUCAACCUUGCUUUUGCUGGGUGUACUUUCCGGUUGACGGGUCAGCAUCAAUUUUGACCGUUGGAUAAAGUCUGUGGGAAUGUGGCUUCUUCGGAAGUGUUAUAGCCCAUGGUCGCAUACAACGGUUGGGAUUGAGGAACUCAGCACGCCGCAAGGCCGGGUAUUUAUACCACGUUCGUGCUUAGGAUGCUGGCAUAAUGGCUUUAAUCGACCCGUCUUGAAACACGGACCAAGGAGUCUAACAUGCCUGCGAGUGUUUGGGUGGAAAACCCGAGCGCGUAAUGAAAGUGAAAGUUGAGAUCCCUGUCGUGGGGAGCAUCGACGCCCGGACCAGACCUUUUGUGACGGAUCCGCGGUAGAGCAUGUAUGUUGGGACCCGAAAGAUGGUGAACUAUGCCUGAAUAGGGUGAAGCCAGAGGAAACUCUGGUGGAGGCUCGUAGCGAUUCUGACGUGCAAAUCGAUCGUCAAAUUUGGGUAUAGGGGCGAAAGACUAAUCGAAC